GCGUGGCACCGGGGGUCAGGCUGCAGCGCCAGAGCAGCAGGCGCUUACGCAUAACUGGGGCCGUCUUCCCCCCGGCGGCGGCGGCCCUUUUAACCGCGAGCUACACGG